AACGAACGCUGGCGGCAGGCCUAACACAUGCAAGUCGAGCGGAUCCUUCGGGAUUAGCGGCGGACGGGUGAGUAACGCGUGGGAAUAUGCCCUUCUCUACGGAAUAGCCUCGGGAAACUGGGAGUAAUACCGUAUACGCCCUACGGGGGAAAGAUUUAUCGGAGAAGGAUGGCCCGCGUUGGAUUAGGUAGUUGGUGGGGUAAUGGCCUACCAAGCCUACGAUCCAUAGCUGGUUUGAGAGGAUGAUCAGCCACACUGGGACUGAGACACGGCCCAGACUCCUACGGGAGGCAGCAGUGGGGAAUCUUAGACAAUGGGGGAAACCCUGAUCUAGCCAUGCCGCGUGAGUGAUGAAGGCCUUAGGGUUGUAAAGCUCUUUCAGCUGGGAAGAUAAUGACGGUACCAGCAGAAGAAGCCCCGGCUAACUCCGUGCCAGCCGCCGCCGUAAAAC
rnacentral:rRNA from 1 species